rnacentral:lncRNA from 1 species
CUCUUGCAAGACGCGAGCGAGUCCGCCUGUGCUCCCAGAAGCCUCUGGUGCGUAUCCUCGCUGGAAACGCACUUCCGGGAUGCGGAGGGAAACUCUCCGACAGACUCCACUGUGUGGGCGAGAGAGAUGCUCUGGCUGUGAGGCGCAGGCCCAUAUCAUCUCUCCUGUGUGUUUCUUCUAAAUUAAAUAAACCUGUUUUAGAACUGUCAGGUACUUUAAAGGCAUGUGCUCAAAAGAGAAACUGUCAAUUGUGCACAGAAGAUAAGAAAUGUAUUUGGUGCAGUGAAGAGCGCAUUUGCAAAAAAUACUGUUUUCCAUAUCAUGGCUGUAGUAUCAGUUCUAUGUAUUGGGCAAACUGUAGAGUUGACAUGUUUGGAGUCAUAAUGCUGAUACUUGUUGCAAUAUUGACGACAGCAUUAUUGUGGCUUUGGUGUGCCUUUUGCUUUUACAUGAAUGAACAUCAAGUCUAUUUUUAUGGACGACGAGAAAGAACUACUGUUCACAGUUGGAAUCCCGAUGCCUGAAAAGAUAGAUCUUCCAGAGGGACAAGGAAGAAGUUUCUUCAAUG